GGAUCGCAGUGUUGGAGCGAGUGGCGCGGAGCAUGGCGGCGGCUUUCCAGGCGUAUCUGGCCAUGGAACUGUGACGUCAGCGCCGACACAGCAGCAGUCGUGUUCCGGUGCUACCGGAGGGCAGCCCAGCCACACAGCCAUGCCGCAAGGAUGUCAGGAUCGCGGAGUUAGAGCGAGUGGCGCGGAGCAUGGCGGCGGCUUUCCAGGCGUAUCUGGCCACGUAACUG
rnacentral:lncRNA from 1 species